rnacentral:lncRNA from 10 species
CCUACUUAGAAAUCAAUCACCCACAGGGGGUGGGGCCUGAGGAGCGCGGCUCUCACAUGUUACUUGAGUUUUACCCAGCAGGUGGGAAGUCCAGAAGGCUGACUCGGUCUCUAAAAUGCAGCAGAACCUGUGGCGACCACAGCCACCCAACAGCAAAAGAGGCAGCAGAGGCUGGGUGAGCACAGGACUGAGAAUUCAUGGAGAAAGUUCUUGAAUUUAAGGGAGAGGUGAGACCAUUUAAUUGGCCAAAAAGGCCCAACUCUAAGAGCCGACCUGCAAGAAGCCAGCCCGGCAGCUUCUCCCAUCACCACUCCCAGCUGCAGGUGGGCUGCCUGCUGUCCUUACCUCCCAGACAAGGGGGAUCAUGUCCUCCUUGGGGUCACCGUGGACCAGUGCGCACUUCUGUGGCCUGUUUUGCUCGCUGCACUUACCUACUGUGACACCACUGUUGCCGACACAGCCACCUCCGUGCGGGGGGUCCCUGGGGCAGACGCCCUGCUAUCCUCAUCUUAGGAUACCCAGUUCCCAACACAGUGCCUGCUGCAAAUUAUCAGUAAUAACAGGCCAUUAACUCCCCUGCUGGUCCCUAUCCAUGGAGCCCAUUGACAGAUGAGUUUGAUUCUGGACCUAAGAAGGACAGUUAACAGACACAGAUAUCUUUUAAGACCCUGAACUCUCCUCUCUACACCAUCGCAUGUCAGUGGAACUAUAAGCCUCAAGACCUGAGUUCAAGUUCGUCCUCUGCCACUUACUAAUGUGAUCUUGGCAAGUCACGUAUUCUCUCUGGGGCUCAUUCUCUGCAUCUGUAAAAUGGGGAUUAAAAACUCUGUGUCCCGCCUGAUUAAUUCUCUAUGACUUGGGAGUCUUCUGGCCAACCUCACUCUGAAAACGUCACCAGACCAAAGAUACAUGGAGCAGUUGGCCUCCUUUAUAGGACGCUGUCCCGCUGGGAGAUGGGAGAAAGAGGGGUACAGUGCCACCUUGGUGAGGUGGGACAGGAACCGGCUGGGCUGUCUGGCUGACUUACGUGCCGAAGCAGCUCUGCUGGAGUCCUGAGCAAUCUUCCCACUCCUUCCAACUCAAUUUGUCCGGCUGACGUCUAAGUUCUCUUUUAGCCCUAAAAGUCUCUGAAUCUAGAUCUUAGAAGCCAGUUCCCUCCACGACUGUCGCCUAUUCACUUUACCUCUGUAAAUGCCAUUUCCCCUUCUGCAAAAGCC